AUUGAACGCUGGCGGCAGGCCUAACACAUGCAAGUCGAGCGAGCGACGGACGGGUGAGUAAUGACUGGGAAACUGCCUGAUGGAGGGGGAUAACUACUGGAAACGGUAGCUAAUACCGCAUACCCUCAGAUGUGCCCAGAUGGGAUUAGCUGGUAGGUGGGGUAACGGCUCACCUAGGCAACGAUCCCUCGCUGGUCUGAGAGGAUGACCAGCCACACUGGAACUGAGACACGGUCCAGACUCCUACGGGAGGCAGCAGUGGGGAAUAUUGCACAAUGGGCGCAAGCCUGAUGCAGCCAUGCCGCGUGUGUGAAGAAGGCCUUCGGGUUGUAAAGCACUUUCAGCGGGGAGGCGUUACCCGCAGAAGAAGCACCGGCUAACUCCGUGCCAGCAGCCGCGGUAAUUC
rnacentral:rRNA from 1 species